rnacentral:rRNA from 1 species
CCUACGGGAGGCUGCAGUAGGGAAUCUUCCACAAUGGACGAAAGUCUGAUGGAGCAACGCCGCGUGAGUGAAGAAGGGUUUCGGCUCGUAAAGCUCUGUUGGUAGUGAAGAAAGAUAGAGGUAGUAACUGGCCUUUAUUUGACGGUAAUUACUUAGAAAGUCACGGCUAACUACGUGACAGCAGCCGCGGUAAUACGUAGGUGGCAAGCGUUGUCCGGAUUCAUUGGGCGUAAAGCGAGUGCAGGCGGUUCAAUAAUUCUGAUGUGAAAGCCUUCGGCUCAACCGGAGAAUUGCAUCAGAAACUGUUGAACUUGAGUGCAGAAGAGGAGAGUGGAACUCCAGGUGUAGCGGUGGAAUGCGUAGAUAUAAGGAAGAACACCAGUGGCGAAGGCGACUAUCUGGCACAUAACUGACGCUGAGGAGCGAAAGCGUGGGUAGCAAACAGGAUUAGAUACCCGUGUAGUC